rnacentral:rRNA from 1 species
UACGUAGGAGGCAAGCGUUGUCCGGAAUCAUUGGGCGGAAAGAGCGUGUAGGCGGCCAGAUAAGUCCGCUGUGAAAUCUCGAGGCUCAACUUCGAGCUGUCGGUGGAAACUAUCUGGCUAGAGUCCGGAAGAGGAGAAUGGAAUUCCUGGUGUAGCGGUGAAAUGCGCAGAUAUCAGGAAGAACACCCGUGGCGAAGGCGGUUCUCUGGAACGCAACUGACGCUGAGACGCGAAAGCGUGGGGAGCAAACAGG